GGACUUGUAGAGUUAAGGUAAACCCCCAGUCGCCAAUAGGCUUCUGGAAUUGCAGGUAUCGAAUCCUGCCGAGUCCC
rnacentral:tRNA from 1 species